GAUGAAGAACGUAGCGAAAUGCGAUAAGUAAUGUGAAUUGCAGAAUUCAGUGAAUCAUCGAAUCUUUGAACGCACAUUGCGCCCGCCAGUAUUCUGGCGGGCAUGCCUGUUCGAGCGUCAUUACAACCCUCAGGCCCCCGGGCCUGGCGUUGGGGAUCGGCGGAAGCCCCCUGCGGGCACAACGCCGUCCCCCAAAUACAGUGGCGGUCCCGCCGCAGCUUCCAUUGCGUAGUAGCUAACACCUCGCAACUGGAGAGCGGCGCGGCCACGCCGUAAAACACCCAACCUCUGAAUGUUGACCUCGAAUCAGGUAGGAAUACCCGCUGAACUUAAGCAUAUCAAUAAGCGGAGGA
rnacentral:misc_RNA from 1 species